CAUGCAAGUCGAACGGUGAAGCCAAGCUUGCUUGGUGGAUCAGUGGCGAACGGGUGAGUAACACGUGAGCAACCUGCCCUGGACUCUGGGAUAAGCGCUGGAAACGGCGUCUAAUACUGGAUAUGAGCUCUCAUCGCAUGGUGGGGGUUGGAAAGAUUUUUCGGUCUGGGAUGGGCUCGCGGCCUAUCAGCUUGUUGGUGAGGUAAUGGCUCACCAAGGCGUCGACGGGUAGCCGGCCUGAGAGGGUGACCGGCCACACUGGGACUGAGACACGGCCCAGACUCCUACGGGAGGCAGCAGUGGGGAAUAUUGCACAAUGGGCGGAAGCCUGAUGCAGCAACGCCGCGUGAGGGAUGACGGCCUUCGGGUUGUAAACCUCUUUUAGCAGGGAAGAAGCGAGAGUGACGGUACCUGCAGAAAAAGCGCCGGCUAACUACGUGCCAGCAGCCGCGGUAAUACGUAGGGCGCAAGCGUUAUCCGGAAUUAUUGGGCGUAAAGAGCUCGUAGGCGGUUUGUCGCGUCUGCUGUGAAAUCCCGAGGCUCAACCUCGGGCCUGCAGUGGGUACGGGCAGACUAGAGUGCGGUAGGGGAGAUUGGAAUUCCUGGUGUAGCGGUGGAAUGCGCAGAUAUCAGGAGGAACACCGAUGGCGAAGGCAGAUCUCUGGGCCGUAACUGACGCUGAGGAGCGAAAGGGUGGGGAGCAAACAGGCUUAGAUACCCUGGUAGUCCACCCCGUAAACGUUGGGAACUAGUUGUGG
rnacentral:rRNA from 1 species